UUCCAAUGGCAGGCAGGAAAUCUUGUAGUAGGUGAUCGUGGCCUUCCUUGGGAUCCCUGUUUCCCCCUUUUAUUCCCUUUUCACCCAGUAAAACCCUGCUUUGCUCACUCUUUAAAGCAUCUGUGAGCGUAAAUUUUUGUGGCCAUGGGAUGGACAAGAACCACAUGUUUACCUGAAGUCCUGUGACAUUUUGGUGUGCAGCAUGGGAGCUCCAAAAGUGAUGCCAGAGGAUGCUAUAGAAAAAUGCGUGCCCUCUUGUAAUACUUUGUUCAAGUUCUGAUCAGAAGGAUGAAUGAUGGAGCCCAAGAAGCCAGAGUCUCAUUGUGUUGCUCAGGCUGGAAUCCAGUGGCAUGAUCUCGGCUCAGUGCAACCUCCGCCUCCUGGGUUCAAGCAGUUCUCCUAGAUCAGCAUCAGCGUCCCGAGUAGCUGGGAUUACAGGCACCCGCCACCAUGCCUGGCUAAUGUUGGUCAGGCUGGCUCGAACUCCUGACCUCAAGAGAUCCACCUGCUUUGGCCUCCCAAAGUGCUCGGAUUACAGGCAUGAGCUGCCACACCCAGCCUCCAAAUACUUUUUUUUUAAAUCAAAAUAAUGAUUUCAAUGACUGAGAUCUGUUAUGUAUUUCAACAUAAUCAUGUUUCAUAAAGAUUUAGUCUUCUGAAA
rnacentral:lncRNA from 1 species